CACCGAUCGCAACCGAUGACCACCCCCCAACGCGGCCACUCCACGCCCACACGUCGCAUUCUCCCCCUUUCGUUGUCCUUCCCCGUCCCCAUUCCCUCCGCUCCCCAGUCCGCAGCAGUUCCGCACCGACGCCCUCCUCACCCUCCCCAAAGCCCUAACCGCUCGCCCGCUCCGCCGCCAUGAGGUCCAAGGCCAACGGAGACACCGCGUUCAAGGCCUCCGGCAAGAACAAGACGGCCACCGGCGGCGUCGCCAAGCCGAAGCGCGCCCCCACCCCUUUCUUCGCUUUCCUGGCUGAGUUCAGGCCACAGUACAUGGAGAAGCACCCCGAGGCAAAGGGCGUCGCGGCCGUUACCAAGGCGGCCGGGGAGAAGUGGCGCAGCAUGUCGGAUGAGGUUUGUCUGGUUUUUGCACUGCUUAUGCAAUUUAUAUUUGUGGAAAGUUGCUCCUGUGCCGUUAUACUUGCCACAUCUUGCCAAAAUACUACUAGGUUGUCGUACCUGUUGCGUUAAACAACUAAUUUGCAGUCCGUUGCCCCAAGAUGAUAACACAGCGAGUCUCCGUUACAAUUGCUGUUAUAUUUGCCGCUUACCAAAAUAACACCCAAGCUGUGCUCUAUUACCCUUAACUGAACGCCGUCAGUCUCCGUUACAAUGUUCUGGCUUUCUAAAAUAUUUCGCUCAAGGUUAGCAAAGGGAAAACGGAAAUAUGUUACCCCUUAUCUGCCACUGUCUUGCUGAGCUGUUUAAUAAGUUUAGCGUCUGUUUGGUGAAGGAAAGAUGAAUUGUUUGAUGCUAACUGGUUAAUGCAUGCCUUGUUUAGGAGAAGGCAAAGUAUGGCG